AGUGAACGCUGGCGGUAGGCCUAACACAUGCAAGUCGAACGGCAGCACAGUAAGAGCUUGCUCUUACGGGUGGCGAGUGGCGGACGGGUGAGGAAUACAUCGGAAUCUACUUUUUCGUGGGGGAUAACGUAGGGAAACUUACGCUAAUACCGCAUACGACCUACGGGUGAAAGCAGGGGAUCUUCGGACCUUGCGCGAUUGAAUGAGCCGAUGUCGGAUUAGCUAGUUGGCGGGGUAAAGGCCCACCAAGGCGACGAUCCGUAGCUGGUCUGAGAGGAUGAUCAGCCACACUGGAACUGGGACACGGUCCAGACUCCUACGGGAGGCAGCAGUGGGGAAUAUUGGCCAAUGGGCGGAAGCCUGAUCCAGCCAUACCGCGUGGGUGAAGAAGGCCUUCGGGUUGUAAAGCCCUUUUGUUGGGAAAGAAAAGCAGCAGGUUAAUACCCCGCUGUUCUGACGGUACCCAAAGAAUAAGCACCGGCUAACUUCGUG
rnacentral:rRNA from 1 species